UUUAUGGAGAGUUUGAUCCUGGCUCAGGAUGAACGCUGGCGGCGUGCCUAAUACAUGCAAGUCGAGCGAACUGACGAGGAGCUUGCUCCUUUGACGUUAGUGGCGGACGGGUGAGUAACACGUGGGUAACCUACCUAUAAGACUGGAAUAACUCCGGGAAACCGGGGCUAAUGCCGGAUGA
rnacentral:ncRNA from 1 species